rnacentral:rRNA from 1 species
GCUGGCGGCGCGCCUAACACAUGCAAGUCGAACGAGAAAGUGGAGCAAUCCAUGAGUACAGUGGCGUACGGGUGAGUAACACGUGGGUGAUCUACCUCUUAGUGAGGAAUAACCCUGGGAAACCGGGGCUAAUACCGCAUAAGCCUGAGAAGGGAAAGCAGCAAUGCGCUGAGAGAGGAGCCCGCGGCCGAUUAGCUAGUUGGUGAGGUAAAAGCCCACCAAGGCAGAGAUCGGUAGCCGGCCUGAGAGGGCACACGGCCACACUGGCACUGAAACACGGGCCAGACUCCUACGGGAGGCAGCAGUGGGGAAUCUUGCACAAUGGGGGAAACCCUGAUGCAGCGACGCCGCGUGAGCGAUGAAGCCCUUCGGGGUGUAAAGCUCUUUCGUCAGGGAAGAUCAUGACGGUACCUGGAGAAGCAGCUGCGGCUAACUACGUGCCAGCAGCCGCGGUAAUACGUAGGCAGCAAGCGUUGUUCGGAGUUACUGGGCGUAAAGGGUGUGU